rnacentral:lncRNA from 1 species
UUCAAUUUUUAAUUCCAGAACAGAGAAUGAAUCUUGAGGACUGGGAAUGGAGCUUGUUGAGGUGCAGGCCAAAAUAGAAGAAAACAACAAAAGAGACAUACAAAAAGAAGUAGAAAAUAACCAAUAGGAGCCACAAUUUCACAUUUCAAUCCAUUGGCUUGGAAUAGGGGAGUGAUUCAAAAAGAGAUUUUUAUCACGAACAAGGUAGGAUUUCUAUCAUCAGAUUCAAGAACAUACCCAAAUGCAAAUUAUUCUCAUGUGAAAUCAAUGAUAUUGA